CCCUUAGAUGUUCGGGGCCGCACGCGCGCUACACUGAAGGACUCAGCGUGUCUCUCCCCCUAUCCCGAAAGGGAUGGGCAACCCGUUGAACCUCCUUCGUGUUAGGGAUUGGGGUUUGCAAUUAUCCCCCAUGAACGAGGAAUUCCCAGUAAGCGCGAGUCAUCAGCUCGCGUUGAUUACGUCCCUGCCCUUUGUACACACCGCCCGUCGCUACUACCGAUUGGAUGGUUUAGUGAGACCCUCGGAUCGGUCCCGACUCGGGGUGGGCUUCUGCCCCGGUCGUGGUUUCGCCGAGAAGACGGUCAAACUUGACUAUCUAGAGGAAGUAAAAGUCGUAACA
rnacentral:rRNA from 1 species